rnacentral:misc_RNA from 1 species
CUGAGUAAAUGGGUCUUUAAGGCCCAUAACUCCCACCCUUUUGUGUACCUUACCAAAUUUUAAGUUGCCUUGGUAGGAACCUACCUCCCUAUUUCGGGGGGGCAAGGCCUACCAUUGGAACUCUUUUAAACUCUUAUCAAUUGAGUCGUCUGAGAAAAUAAAUUCAAAUGAAUUA